rnacentral:lncRNA from 1 species
GUUCAUUUUAAUGUACAGCACUUUUUAUUUAGCUUCCUCAUCUGUAUGGUCCCUUGUGUCCCAGCAGCUGAUGGCUGUUCACAUGCAGAUUACAGCUGUCCUUGAAGGUUGUUCAACAGGUUGCACUUGUGGACAUCUAAUUAAUAAUAUGUGUAUUCAUACCGUAUAAUAAUAUGUGUCUGUAAAUAAUAGUGCAUUUACAUAGUGAGGUGGGAAUAAAUAGCUGCCCUGAAGAAGAAUCCCAAUAUCACGUAUCAGUUAGAUGACCAAGUUCAGGGCCCGUGCAACUGCAGCAGCUCGGCUCUGGAGACCGGAUCCGUUGGGGAUACGAUGGACCACACCCACAUAGUGAUUAGACCGUCUGAUUGGACGCCAUGUGGACGUCUUGACCACUACCAUGUCUUUCAUGCAAAUUUAAGAAGGGGCCGAGAGCGUAGAAGACAAACGAGGAAAAACAUGGCAGAAAGGGGGACUCUGGAGACAGCUGUUGGAGAGGUUAGUUAGAGAUUUCCAGCCAUUAACUUCAGUGGUAGCCAGCUCGCCCACUUAAAGCAGAUAAGGGCCGGGGCACGCCAAAGCCCCCCUAUGAAAAGGAACGGGACCCAGCUUGAUCUUGUGGGGGGAAAUUGUUUACAAGUGGGACCCUCCAACCCACAAUGGACCCCUGCAAGAAAGAGGGACAG